rnacentral:rRNA from 1 species
CUCCGGGGGUAGAGCACUGUUUCGGCUAGGGGGCCAUCCCGGCUUACCAACCCGAUGCAAACUGCGAAUACCGAAGAAUGUUAUCACGGGAGACACACGGCGGGUGCUAACGUCCGUCGUGAAAAGGGAAACAACCCAGACCGUCAGCUAAGGUCCCAAAGUUAUGGUUAAGUGGGAAACGAUGUGGGAAGGCUUA